CGGAGGAUCCGAGCGUUAUCCGGAAUCAUUGGGUUUAAAGGGUCCGUAGGCGGUUUAGUAAGUCAGUGGUGAAAGCCCAUCGCUCAACGGUGGAACGGCCAUUGAUACUGCUAAACUUGAAUUAUUAGGAAGUAACUAGAAUAUGUAGUGUAGCGGUGAAAUGCUUAGAGAUUACAUGGAAUACCAAUUGCGAAGGCAGGUUACUACUAAUGGAUUGACGCUGAUGGACGAAAGCGUGGGUAGCGAACAGGAUUAGAUACCCUGGUAGUCCACGCCGUAAACGAUGGAUACUAGCUGUUGGGGGCAACUUCAGUGGCUAAGCGAAAGUGAUAAGUAUCCCACCUGGGGAGUACGUUCGCAAGAAUG
rnacentral:rRNA from 1 species